rnacentral:rRNA from 1 species
GAUGAACGCUGGCGGCGUGCUUAACACAUGCAAGUCGAACGGUGAACACGGAGCUUGCUCUGUGGGAUCAGUGGCGAACGGGUGAGUAACACGUGAGCAACCUGCCCCUGACUCUGGGAUAAGCGCUGGAAACGGCGUCUAAUACUGGAUAUGUGACGUGACCGCAUGGUCUGCGUUUGGAAAGAUUUUUCGGUUGGGGAUGGGCUCGCGGCCUAUCAGCUUGUUGGUGAGGUAAUGGCUCACCAAGGCGUCGACGGGUAGCCGGCCUGAGAGGGUGACCGGCCACACUGGGACUGAGACACGGCCCAGACUCCUACGGGAGGCAGCAGUGGGGAAUAUUGCACAAUGGGCGCAAGCCUGAUGCAGCAACGCCGCGUGAGGGAUGACGGCCUUCGGGUUGUAAACCUCUUUUAGCAGGGAAGAAGCGAAAGUGACGGUACCUGCAGAAGAAGCGCCGGCUAACUACGUG